AACGAACGCUGGCGGCAUGCCUAACACAUGCAAGUCGAACGAAACCUUCGGGUCUAGUGGCGUACGGGUGCGUAACGCGUGGGAACCUGCCCUUAGGUUCGGAAUAACUCCCCGAAAGGGGUGAUAAUACCGGAUAAUGUCUUCGGACCAAAGAUUUAUCGCCUUUGGAUGGGCCCGCGUUGGAUUAGCUAGUUGGUAGGGUAAAAGCCUACCAAGGCGACGAUCCAUAGCUGGUUUGAGAGGAUGGUCAGCCACACUGGGACUGAGACGCGGCCCAGACUCCUACGGGCGGCAGCAGUGGGGAAUAUAGGACAAUGGGCGAAAGCCUGAUCCAGCAAUGCCGCGUGAGUGAUGAAGGCCUUAGGGUUGUAAAGCUCUUUUACCCGGGAUGAUAAUGACAGUACCGGGAGAAUAAGCUCCGGCUAACUCCGUG
rnacentral:rRNA from 1 species